rnacentral:rRNA from 1 species
GACGAACGCUGGCGGCGUGCCUAAUACAUGCAAGUAGAACGCUGAAGGAGGAGCUUGCUUCUCUGGAUGAGUUGCGAACGGGUGAGUAACGCGUAGGUAACCUGCCUGGUAGUGGGGGAUAACUAUUGGAAACGAUAGCUAAUACCGCAUAAUAGCAGUUGUUGCAUGAUAACUGUUUGAAAGGUGCAAUUGCACCGCUACCAGAUGGACCUGCGAUGUAUUAGCUAGUUGGUGGGGUAACGGCUCACCAAGGCGACGAUACAUAGCCGACCUGAGAGGGUGAUCGGCCACACUGGGACUGAGACACGGCCCAGACUCCUACGGGAGGCAGCAGUAGGGAAUCUUCGGCAAUGGACGGAAGUCUGACCGAGCAACGCCGCGUGAGUGAAGAAGGUUUUCGGAUCGUAAAGCUCUGUUGUAAGAGAAGAACGAGUGUGAGAGUGGAAAGUUCACACUGUGACGGUAUCUGACCAGAAAGGGACGGCUAACUACGUG